rnacentral:rRNA from 1 species
GACGAACGCUGGCGGCGUGCUUAACACAUGCAAGUCGAACGGACAGGCCCUGCUUUUGUUGGGUGCUCGAGUGGCGAACGGGUGAGUAACACGUGUGUAACCUGCACUUGACUUUGGGAUAACUUCAGGAAACUGGGGCUAAUACCGGAUAGGAGCUCCUGCUGCAUGGUGGGGGUUGGAAAGUUUCGGCGGUUGGGGAUGGACUCGCGGCUUAUCAGCUUGUUGGUGGGGUAGUGGCUUACCAAGGCUUUGACGGGUAGCCGGCCUGAGAGGGUGACCGGCCACAUUGGGACUGAGAGACGGCCCAGACUCCUACGGGACGCAGUAGGGGGGAAUAUUGCACAAUGGGCGGAAGCCUGAUGCAGCAACGCCGCGUGCGGGAUGAUGGCCUUCGGGUUGAAAACCGCUGUCGCCGUUGACGAAGCGUGAGUGACGGUAAUGGGUAAAGAAGCACCGGCUAACUACGUG